rnacentral:rRNA from 1 species
CAGUAGGGAAUCGUUCCACAAUGGGCGCAAGCCUGGUGAGCAACACCGCGUGAGUGAAGAAGGGUUUCGGCUCGUAAAGCUCUGUUGUUAAAGAAGAACACGUAUGAGAGUAACUGUUCAUACGUUGACGGUAUUUAACCAGAAAGUCACGGCUAACUACGUGCCAGCAGCCGCGGUAAUACGUAGGUGGCAAGCGUUAUCCGGAUUUAUUGGGCGUAAAGAGAGUGCAGGCGGUUUUCUAAGUCUGAUGUGAAAGCCUUCGGCUUAACCGGAGAAGUGCAUCGGAAACUGGAUAACUUGAGUGCAGAAGAGGGUAGUGGAACUCCAUGUGUAGCGGUGGAAUGCGUAGAUAUAUGGAAGAACACCAGUGGCGAAGGCGGCUACCUGGUCUGCAACUGACGCUGAGACUCGAAAGCAUGGGUAGCGAACAGGAUUAGAUACCCUGGUAG